UACGGGGGGAGCAAGCGUUGUUCGGAUUUACUGGGCGUAAAGGGCGCGUAGGCGGUCGUGACAAGUCACUUGUGAAAUCUCCGGGCUUAACUCGGAACGGUCAAGUGAUACUGUCGGACUAGAGUACAGAAGGGGCAACUGGAAUUCUCGGUGUAGCGGUGAAAUGCGUAGAUAUCGAGAGGAACACCUGCGGCGAAGGCGGGUUGCUGGGCUGAUACUGACGCUGAGCGAGCGAAGACCAGGGGAGCGAACGGG
rnacentral:rRNA from 1 species